rnacentral:rRNA from 1 species
GGCAGGCUUACACAUGCAAGUCGAGCGGAAACGAUGGGAGCUUGCUCCCAGGCGUCGAGCGGCGGACGGGUGAGUAAUACUUAGGAAUCUACCUAGUAGUGGGGGAUAGCUCGGGGAAACUCGAAUUAAUACCGCAUACGUCCUACGGGAGAAAGGGGGCAGUUUACUGCUCUCGCUAUUAGAUGAGCCUAAGUCGGAUUAGCUAGUUGGUGGGGUAAAGGCCUACCAAGGCGACGAUCUGUAGCUGGUCUGAGAGGAUGAUCAGCCACACCGGGACUGAGACACGGCCCGGACUCCUACGGGAGGCAGCAGUGGGGAAUAUUGGACAAUGGGGGAAACCCUGAUCCAGCCAUGCCGCGUGUGUGAAGAAGGCCUUUUGGUUGUAAAGCACUUUAAGCAGUGAAGAAGACCUAACGGUUAAUACCCGUUAGCGAUGACAUUAGCUGCAGAAUAAGCACCGGCUAACUCUGUGCCAGCAGCCGCGGUAAUACAGAGGGUGCAAGCGUUAAUCGGAAUUACUGGGCGUAAAGCGAGCGUAGGUGGCUUGAUAAGUCAGAUGUGAAAUCCCCGGGCUUAACCUGGGAACUGCAUCUGAUACUGUUAAGCUAGAGUAGGUGAGAGGGAAGUAGAAUUCCAGGUGUAGCGGUGAAAUGCGUAGAGAUCUGGAGGAAUACCGAUGGCGAAGGCAGCUUCCUGGCAUCAUACUGACACUGAGGCUCGAAAGCGUGGGUAGCAAACAGGAUUAGAUACCCUGGUAGUCCACGCCGUAAACGAUGUCUACUAGUCGUU